GUCAUGGCCUCCGUCAACGGCCACUCCCUCAGAUUGCUCAAUGAUCCUUUUCUGCUCCUUGGCGGUGCUUCACGGGAUGAAGGACAUAUCCAAAAAUCAUAUUUGGGCGGUGACUACCACCGGGGAUGGCCAAAGCUCCAAACAUCGCUGCCUCCACAGCUUGCAGUGGGGGAGUACAGGUCCCUCCCAGACACGAGUGAGCCCAAGUCUUCCCAGACUUGGUUCCUAUGGAGACCUGGAGAAGGAUCCCCAGGAGCUACCAGAUGAGAUUUUACUGGGGUGAAGUCUUGAGGCUACACCAUGGCACACGUGUGGUUACCAUACCCUGGCUAUUCUAUAUUAUAACCAUUCAAAGUGUGCUAGGUGAUUUUAUUAAGUCCAAUGAUAGGAAAGACUGGGAACACUCAAGACAUUUAUUUAGUAAAACAGUGCUCUGUCCUAGAGGAUUAAGGCACACGUGGUAAUUAAAAAACUCAAAGGCUCAAGUGGAAAUGCAGAGUUU
rnacentral:lncRNA from 1 species